AUGCCGGAUGGCGAGGAUGAGGAUGAGGAUGAGGACGAUGACCACGAGCGAGGCGGCGAAGGCGGUGGCGUUGCAGUAGAAGAAGGCGAGGUAGCGGUGGUAGUUGGUUUGGCGGAUGAUAGGGUCGCCGGCGAGUUGGCCGUCGUGGGUGACCUGCCAGACGCCCCCCGGCGUGUUGCCGUACGUGACGGUGACCACCAGGGUGGCCAGCAGCAGGAGGUACUUCCGCAGGCUGUACUCCCAUGGCUGCUGGCCCUGCCCGGGCGCCGUUGCCUGCUGGCCGGACUGAUCCGUUGGCAUUGCCGGCUGCACUGCAGGGGCGGCGGCGAUUCCACUCUCUCAAAUCUCAAGCUCUCAGCAAGUGUGGCUCUUUCUUAA
rnacentral:rRNA from 1 species